UCGAGAAUUUUUCACAAUGGGGGAAACCCUGAUGGAGCGACGCCGCGUGGAGGACGAAGGCCUUCGGGUCGUAAACUCCUGUCAUGCGGGAACAAGAAAGUGAUAGUACCGCAAGAGGAAGGGACGGCUAACUCUGUGCCAGCAGCCGCGGUAAUACAGAGGUCCCAAGCGUUGUUCGGAUUCAUUGGGCGUAAAGGGUGCGUAGGUGGCGAUGUAAGUCUGGUGUGAAAUCUCAGGGCUCAACCUUGAAAUUGCAUUGGAUACUGCGUUGCUUGAGGAUUGUAGAGGAGAGUGGAAUUCACGGUGUAGCAGUGAAAUGCGUAGAUAUCGUGAGGAAGACCAGUUGCGAAGGCGACUCUCUGGGCAAUUCCUGACACUGAGGCACGAAGGCCAGGGGAGCAAACGGG
rnacentral:rRNA from 1 species